rnacentral:rRNA from 1 species
AUUGAACGCUGGCGGCAGGCCUAACACAUGCAAGUCGAGCGGGGUUUUCGGACCUAGCGGCGGACGGGUGAGUAAUGCGUAGGAAGCUACCCGAUAGAGGGGGAUACCAGUUGGAAACGACUGUUAAUACCGCAUAAUGUCUACGGACCAAAGUGUGGGACCUUCGGGCCACAUGCUAUCGGAUGCGCCUACGUGGGAUUAGCUAGUUGGUGAGGUAAUGGUUCACCAAGGCGACGAUCCCUAGCUGGUUUGAGAGGAUGAUCAGCCACACUGGAACUGAGACACGGUCCAGACUCCUACGGGAGGCAGCAGUGGGGAAUAUUGGACAAUGGGCGCAAGCCUGAUCCAGCCAUGCCGCGUGUGUGAAGAAGGCCUUCGGGUUGUAAAGCACUUUCAGUAGGGAGGAAGCGUUGUGUGUUAAUAGUACACAGCGUUGACGUUACCUACAGAAGAAGCACCGGCUAACUCUGUGCCAGCAGCAGCCGCAGUA